ensembl:lncRNA
CCUUUCUCCCUCGUACCUCCUCCCUUCUUCACCCCUCCUUCUGUCACUCCCCCCUCUCUCUCUCCCUCUCUCUCUGUCUGAUAGCCAUUCCUUCCUGUUAUUGUCCUGCAUCCCCCGAACACCAAGGUGCUCUCUCCUUCCCCUCCCUCGUUCUCCAGGUCUCUCGCCCGUCCGCUGUGGAUUGGUUUGGUGUGUUUUGCAUGUGCCAGGAGGUUGAAGAGUAAGCUCCUACAGAGUGGAGCUCCCAAUGGCGCCAGCAUGGCUGAGGAUGACGCUGUGACUGCCAAAAGCCUGUCUGUGUUGGGUGGGAUGUACGGCACCGCUCCGUAGUCCACCACCUGCCCGGAGACCCAGUGAACCCCUCAGCAGGCGUCAGGGAGGAGGCGGUCACCAGGUGCGCUGUCUGCCCCCUGCCUUCCAGCCAAGCCCCGGCAUUCUGGGAGAGGAGCUAUAAGCCACUGGAAAGAGCUUCAGUAAAGGAGGGAAGAGAGAAGAGGAGAGGAGGAGAGGAUACAAAGGAGUGAGAGAAGUCAGAAUGAACCCAGCGGAUAUGCAGUGAACCACAUCCAGUGGGAGGAGCCUAAACAAAUACACACAUAUCUGCAGGCAUUGUGGGUAUUAUAGAGGCCAGAGGGAUGAGCGCCCCCUACUGGACCAUCAACACCUUUUCCAG